GAUGAACGCUGGCGGCGUGCCUAAUACAUGCAAGUCGAGCGAACGGACGAGAAGCUUGCUUCUCUGAUGUUAGCGGCGGACGGGUGAGUAACACGUGGAUAACCUACCUAUAAGACUGGGAUAACCUCGGGAAACCGGAGCUAAUACCGGAUGAUAUUUUGAACCGCAUGGUUCAAAAGUGAAAGACGGUCUUGCUGUCACUUAUAGAUGGAUCCGCGCUGCAUUAGCUAGUUGGUAAGGUAACGGCUUACCAAGGCAACGAUGCAUAGCCGACCUGAGAGGGUGAUCGGCCACACUGGAACUGAGACACGGUCCAGACUCCUACGGGAGGCAGCAGUAGGGAAUCUUCCGCAAUGGGCGAAAGCCUGUCGGAGCAACGCCGCGUGAGUGAUGAAGGUCUUCGGAUCGUAAAACUCUGUUAUUAGGGAAGAACAUAUGUGUAAGUAACUGUGCACAUCUUGACGGUACCUAAUCAGAAAGCCACGGCUAACUACGUG
rnacentral:rRNA from 1 species